UUUUACGGUGCAUCAGAUCAAUAUUGACCGUUCAUAUUUUCGUUUGGACGGUCCAGAUAUGGAAAUACUACCACAGAUUUUCGAUAGUAUAUUUUCUUAUCAGGGGUAGUUUCGGUAGUUCGCUGUUUACCAAAAACGCGGGCUGGUUUCCUCAGAAAACGAGUGAAGGGCAUUUGUGGAAUUUCACGUAUUGAUCUUUUUUUUCAUUAGCCAUCGCCGUCUGCUCCUUGAGGGAAAUGAGGCCGACUGUUUAGGCAGACCUCGAAUGAGAAAAAAAAUCCCAAUCGAACGCUGGCCGCGGUAGGGCGAGAGGAUGAUGACGAGCCCCGGUCGCCGUGACGGCCCUUCGCGCAGUCAGUGCGAGCGCUAGGGUUUGGUGCCCCGCCUUCGGUCAGAUGAGCGGGCGCUGCGGCGUUGCCCCCAUGGUGUCACAGUCAUCGUCGGCGAGAUGGCCCUGCCAUUCGUGUUCUGGAGCUGGUGGCUGAGGGGGAGGGGGGAAGGGGACGAAGGCGAGACGUUGCUGCAGCAGCAUGCCCCAUCGCCGUGACGGCCCUGCGCGCCGCCGAGUUGGAGUUCCACUAAGGUACUAGCUUCGUACAGAUCUCACUUGUCGAUUGAUUUGAUUUGCCGCAUUGGAUGAUAUUUGGGUCUGUAAUUUGGGUUUGUAGUCGUUGAAAUUGCACAUCUAUAGAAGCUGAAAUCAUUGUUAUUAUUAUGGUGAGGAAUCUUGAUACAAGUUGUUUUUCUGGUCGGCGGCUGUGGUCGGCGGCUAAAUGUCCCGCCAUUCGUGUUCCCCUCCUAAGCUGCAGGAUGUGGAGCGGGUCGCCGAGGGGGAGGACUAAGGCGAGACGUUGCCAGCAUGCCCCGUCGCCGUCAAGGUCCUACACGCCGACCAGUGCCGUACAGAUCUGUCGUGGCCGAUGCAGUGACAAGCGAUUUGGAGGGAAAAAGCUGAUCCAGCCAUGGUCCUCGCCUAGGAGGAGGACGAGUUCCAUCACACCAGCAGCAGUUCAGGAUGUAAUCGGGAUUGUCAUUCAAAAAAAAGGAAAUCGGGACUGAUCUACACAAGAGGCGUCAUGUGGAUCUAUAGUAGGCUAUGGUAAAUCGGGACUUCUAUGUCAUGCUGAUCUACACGAGUUGAUGUACGGGUUCAAUGAGAUAUGUAUACCUUCUUUGCCGACGAGUGUGGCGGCUUCGGUGCACCUGACUUUGUCGAUGAAGGUGGGGGCUUCGAUGCACGUGACUUGGAUUGCUUCGUGACUGACUGUGCAGGCCUGACGGACGCAGCAGGAUGAUAGGGAGACAUAUGACGGUGGUGGUGAUGGUGAUGGCGAGAUUGGUUGGUUCUGCUCAAGGUUCAAGGAUGGGAUUCAAGGAGGGAGGCUGGGCUGUGGUGAGGUUUAGGUUGAUGCGUACAAAGCAUAUAUAUAGGCUGGGUACACGAUCGUGUAGGUUACAAUCUAGUCAUUUAUUUCUUGCCGAAGAAUAAACCCGUGUUUUGUUUUAUUGUUGAUGGGA